AUAACCUUCGAAAGCGACCUUUUUCUUUAAACUUAUUUGGGUGAUGAAAUUUUUUUCAUUAUAUAAUUAAGUUUAUACGUUUAAACCAAGUCUUAUAAGACCUCAAUAAAAAAAAAUAUAUAUAUAUAUAUAUAUAUAUUCCAUUGAGGUGGUCGGACUAUUAAAUUGCCCGCCUAACAAUGACUCGCAUUUUUGCCUUCAUAAAAAAUGCUGAAGUCCCAGGUUGAACAAAAAAAAAUGACCACCAGAUUUGUAACAAUAUCCAACUCGGAUGUGACUUCCCUUUCCUAUAUUUCUGGUGCUAUCCCACACAGCUGAUAUUUAACAAGAGUAAUUAUUCUCUGUACCCGGAACACCACGUGGCACUGUCAGGUGUUGUACUUGGCUAAUUAUAUAACUCAGAUUCAUGUGAGGACUAGCACGGGGUAGGAAAAAAAAAGUAAUUAAUUAAAUAUACCAAUCAGAAAUAAGGAUAAAACACGUGGACCAAUGAGAUUAAAAGGAAACAAAAAACAGGUGGUGUUCCGGGUACAAAUAAUAAUUUCCCAUUUAACAAAAACAAUGAUAUCGUGGACGAAAGGAAAAAUGAUAGGGUAAAGAGAGGCCGGUGAAAUGUCCCUUUUUUGAUUUAAAAAUUAACAAACAUACAAUGAUGAUAUUGAUGAGUCUAUUUCGAGGGUCUCCAAGAGAUUAUAUAUAUAUAUAUAUAUAAACAUACAAUAUAUACACACAGUUAGGAUCUGAGGAGGACGUCCGCAAAAUGAAAAGAGUGCGGAUGGACACAUGUCGACUAGAGGAAUCAACUGUAUUUUAAACUGGGUCUCACCACCUCUCUUCUUACUUUGACCACAUCCCUUCCUCGAUCUCUCACACGCGCUAAACCCAGAAACUUGAUUUUCUUCUGCCUUUCUCAUCUCCAUUACAGAUCCAGAAAUAGAUUUAAGUAGGAAGUCUAAGUGUUGAUGAAAUGGGUGGGCAUGCCUCAGCAUUCGCACACAACUAUAUAGUACUUUGAGAGUUGAUGCUCAUUUCCCAUCCCCAAAGAAACACAUUGACCACCGCCGCCGUCACCUCAAU
rnacentral:lncRNA from 1 species